ACUGAAUAGAUACCCGGGUAGUCCACGCUGUAAACGAUGGAUACUAGGUGUAGCCGGUCUCGACCCCGGCUGUGCCGCAGCUAACGCAAUAAGUAUCCCGCCUGGGGAGUAUGGCCGCAAGGUUGAAACUCAAAGGAAUUGACGGGGGCCCGGUACAAGCGGUGGAGGAAGUGGUUUAAUUCGACGCAACGCGAAGAACCUUACCAAGGCUUGACAUCCACAGAAGUUUAUAGAAAUAUAGAUGUGCCCGAAAGGGAAACUGUGAGACAGGUGGUGCAUGGCUGUCGUCAGCUCGUGUCGUGAGAUGUUGGGUUAAGUCCCGCAACGAGCGCAACCCUCGAUGUUAGUUACCAUCAUUUAGUUGGGGACUCUAACGUGACUGCCGGUGAUAAGCCGGAGGAAGGUGAGGACGACGUCAAGUCAUCAUGCCCCUUACGGUCUUGGGCUACACACGUCCUACAAUGGUACAGACAAAGGGCUGCAAGCUAGCGAUAGUGAGCGAAUCCCAUAAACUGUAUCUCAGUUCGGAUUGCAGG
rnacentral:rRNA from 1 species